rnacentral:rRNA from 1 species
CCUACGGGGGGCAGCAAUUAGGAAUCUUGCGCAAUGGGCGAAAGCCUGACGCAGCGACGCCGCGUGACUGAUGAAGUCUUUCGGGAUGUAAAGGUCUUUUGCAGGGGACGAAGGAAGUGACGGUACCCUGCGAAUAAGCUCCGGCUAACUACGUGCCAGCAGCCGCGGUAAUACGUAGGGAGCGAGCGUUGUCCGAAUUUACUGGGCGUAAAGCGCGCGUAGGCGGGUUNUUAAGUUGUGGGUGAAAUGCCGAGGCUCAACCUCGGAACUGCCUGCAAAACUGGGAGCCUUGAGGUAUGGAGAGGGAAGUGGAAUUCCAGGUGUAGCGGUGAAAUGCGUAGAUAUCUGGAGGAACACCGAUUGCGAAGGCAGCUUACUGGGCCAUUACUGACGCUGAUGCACGAAAGCGUGGGGAGCGAACAGGAUUAGAUACCCUAGUANUC